AGAGUUUGAUCAUGGCUCAGAACGAACGCUGGCGGCAGGCUUAACACAUGCAAGUCGAACGAACGUAGCAAUACGUUAGUGGCGCGCGGGUGAGUAACGCGUGGAUAUCUGCCUUUUGGUUCGGGAUAACCUUGGGAAACUAGGGCUAAUACCGAAUGGUUCCUACGGGAUAAAGAUUUAUCGCCAAAAGAUGAGUCCGCGUCCGAUUAGCUAGUUGGUGGGGUAAUGGCCCACCAAGGCGACGAUCGGUAGCUGGUCUGAGAGGACGAUCAGCCACACUGGGACUGAGACACGGCCCAGACUCCUACGGGAGGCAGCAGUGGGGAAUAUUGGACAAUGGGGGCAACCCUGAUCCAGCCAUGCCGCGUGAGUGAUGAAGGCCUUCGGGUUGUAAAGCUCUUUUGGCGGGGACGAUGAUGACGGUACCCGCAGAAUAAGCCCCGGCUAACUUCGUGCCAGCAGCCGCGGUAAGACGAAGGGGGCUAGCGUUGUUCGGAAUUACUGGGCGUAAAGCGUGUGUAGGUGGUUGUCAUAGUCAGGCGUGAAAGCCUUGAGCUCAACUCAAGAAAUGCGCUUGAUACUGGGCAGCUAGAGGACCGGAGAGGAUAGUGGAAUUCCCAGUGUAGUGGUGAAAUACGUAGAGAUUGGGAAGAACACCAGUGGCGAAGGCGGCUAUCUGGACGGUUUCUGACACUAAGACACGAAAGCGUGGGGAGCAAACAGGAUUAGAUACCCUAGUAGUCC
rnacentral:rRNA from 1 species